CAGUCGCCGCGGUAAUACAGAGGGUGCGAGCGUUAAUCGGAUUUACUGGGCGUAAAGCGUGCGUAGGCGGCUAAUUGAGUCGGAUGUGAAAUCCCCGAGCUUAACUUGGGAAUUGCAUUCGAUACUGGUUAGCUAGAGUGUGGGAGAGGAUGGUAGAAUUCCAGGUGUAGCGGUGAAAUGCGUAGAGAUCUGGAGGAAUACCGAUGGCGAAGGCAGCCAUCUGGCCUAACACUGACGCUGAGGUACGAAAGCAUGGGGAGCAAACAGGAUUAGAUACCCGAGUAGUCCCUGCCUCUUAUAC
rnacentral:rRNA from 1 species